GAUGAACGCUGGCGGCGUGCCUAAUACAUGCAAGUCGAACGCAUUGUGGUUGAAAUGAUAUGAAGAACUUGUUCAGAUUUGAUUUUCAACAUUGCAAUGAGUGGCGAACGGGUGAGUAACACGUGGGAAACCUACCUCUUAGCAGGGGAUAACAUUUGGAAACAAAUGCUAAUACCGUAUAAUAAUUAAAACCGACAUGGUUUUAGUUUAAAAGAAUGGUCUUGCUAUCACUAAGAGAUGGUCCCGCGGUGUAUUAGUUAGUUGGUGAGGUAAUGGCUCACCAAGAACAAUGAUACAUAGCCGAG
rnacentral:rRNA from 1 species